rnacentral:rRNA from 1 species
UGGGGAAUCUUGCGCAAUGGGCGAAAGCCUGACGCAGCAACGCCGCGUGAGUGAUGAAGGUCUUCGGAUCGUAAAGCUCUGUCGGCAGGAAAGAAGGGUUUUUUGGCUAACAUCCAAGAAAUCUGACGGUACCUGCAAAGGAAGCACCGGCUAACUCUGUGCCAGCAGCCGCGGUAAUACAGAGGGUGCAAGCGUUGUUCGGAAUUAUUGGGCGUAAAGGGCGCGUAGGCGGCCUCGUAAGUCAGAUGUGAAAGCCCAGGGCUCAACCUUGGAAGUGCAUCUGAAACUGUGUGGCUAGAGUCUCGGAGAGGGUGGUGGAAUUCCCAGUGUAGAGGUGAAAUUCGUAGAUAUUGGGAGGAACACCGGUGGCGAAGGCGACCACCUGGACGAUGACUGACGC